ACGGGAGGCAGCAGUGGGGAAUAUUGCACAAUGGGCGCAAGCCUGAUGCAGCGAUGCCGCGUGAGGGAAGAAGGUUUUCGGAUUGUAAACCUCUGUCCUCAGGGACGAUAAUGACGGUACCUGAGGAGGAAGCUCCGGCUAACUACGUGCCAGCAGCCGCGGUAAUACGUAGGGAGCGAGCGUUGUCCGGAAUUACUGGGUGUAAAGGGUGCGUAGGCGGGACGGCAAGUCAGAUGUGAAAUGUAUGGGCUUAACCCAUGAACUGCAUUUGAAACUGUUUCUCUUGAGUGCUGGAGAGGUAGAUGGAAUUCCUAGUGUAGCGGUGAAAUGCGUAGAUAUUAGGAAGAACACCAGUGGCGAAGGCGAUCUACUGGACAGUAACUGACGCUGAGGCGCGAAAGCGUGGGGAGCAAACAGGAUUAGAUACCCUGGUA
rnacentral:rRNA from 1 species